GGGGACUCCUGCAACAGCCUGGGGUGAGGGUCGGGGGCAUGGCAAGGGAGCCUCCUCCAGUUAGGUUUGAGAUAACCACAGCCUAGAAUCAUCCAGCCACACCGAUCCCAGAGUCCUGAACCAUAGAAACUGCAAGCGUCUGCUUUAGGUGGUGAUGACUCCAGGACAUUUGAGCACAAAGGGACUCUACAGGGGACUGGGUCGGCAAAAUCCUCAAAAAGUCCGGAAAGGAAUACUCUGGUGGAACUUUCAGAGCUAACUUCAAGACCAACAUCGCAGAACUGGCCCCGAAAGAGCCCUGUGAGGACAUAGUGAGAAGGCAGUCCUCUACAAGUCAACAAGAGAGCUCUCACAGCAAACCAACUGCCAGACCUUGAUCUUGAACUUCCAGCCUCCAGAACUGUGAGAAAAUGAACAUCUGUUGUUUAAAUUGCCUAGAUGAUGGUAUUAUGUUAUAACAUCUCAAGCAGACAAAUACAGUCUCACAGCUAUUAUUUGCGAAGGUUAUAAGAAUAAAAGCAU